GUAAAAAAUGCUGAUUGAUAGGGAAGUGGGUGCCUCCUUCAAAAAAGUAACUGCUGACAGUUAGUGUUUCUUUAAUUAUCCACCAUGAUUUAGGUAGGUUUGCCAGCUUGCUCCAGGGAUUUAGGUAUUUAAGCAAAGAUAUAAAUUAAGUAGUGGAAGGUUCUUCUGAGACAUAUGCUCUUGAAUGCCUUUGAAAAUUUGAUUCCAGUGGCACACAGAAUCCAAAGCAUCUCCUCUACCAUGCUGCCCGCUCUUCUUUUGGAAUGAACUUUGGAUUUGAAGUAUAUUCUUAGAGCAGCUCUUUUAUAUGAAAACUUGUUCACAAAGAAGAAAAAUGAACUAAAGAACAUAACAUUGGCUGAGUUCUCCUGGAUUGUGGCAUGAAACUCAAGUGUUUUUGUUAUUUGUGAAAUAAUUCUUCCAGUGCACUGAAGUAUGUAAAAGGAAGGAUUGGUGUAUUCCUGGGGAAUUCCAGCUGGUUGGAAGUGGAAUUGUUUAGCUCUUUUGUUUUAAUGAUUGUGAGCAAGUGAAUCUAGGUGAGUCCUUCCAGCUGUAUAGGGGGGCCUCAAAUUUGGCCAAAAGUUUUGAAGCUGAAGAAUCUCUGUAAGUACCAGGAGAGCAGUCAGAGCUGUUCUACCCUGCUAGCUGAAACAUUUCCAUAGCUUUGUCUGCUACUGUCUGUGUUGGAACAAUGAAAACAAUGUUAAAGUAUUAUGUAUAGAGUGCAGACUUCUUGCUGAAGGCCAUAUUAGAUGAGAGUUCAUUCCUGGUUCAGUUCUUGAUCUAGUUAUUUUUGAUGUCAAUGUUUAAUUUUGUCAG
rnacentral:lncRNA from 1 species